UCAAUAACGCGAGUUGCACCGUAAUAAUAUUACUAUCACGAGUUUGAUGAGCAUCACGAGUACCUCGUAUACUUACUGUAUAUAUCGUACUUAUACGGUUAUUAUUGACCAAUUUUAUAACUAUGAGUAACGAUCAUAUUUUAUUAAAAAACUUCAGUGUUUCGAGUGGGCCGCGUGAUGUGCGAGUUUGGGCUGAUGUUGAAUUUUACCACUCGAAUUUACGAUUUCCCGAAGUAUUCAGCUGUGUAUUAUAUUCGACAAAUAUUAUACCGUACGACGGUUAUGAGUA